rnacentral:misc_RNA from 1 species
UAUGAAGAACGCAGCGAAAUGCGAUAAGUAGUGUGAAUUGCAGAAUUCCGUGAAUCAUCGAAUCUUUGAACGCACAUUGCGCCUCCUGGUAGUCCGGGAGGCAUGCCUGUUCGAGCGUCACCAAAUCCAACUCAAGCGGUUUUGCGCUUGGUCGUGGCGGAAGAGUCGGUCUGGUUGCCGUCUCCCCUCCGAAAAUCAACGGCGGAAAGUCACUGGCAGUCAGCGUAGUAGUAUCGUUCGCCGAACAUCCAGUGGCAUUCCUGCCGACGUACCCCCACAAUUCUCGUGAUUGACCUCGGAUCAGGUAGGGAUACCCGCUGAACUUAAGCAUAUCAAUAAGCGGAGGA